ACGAACGCUGGCGGCGUGCUUAACACAUGCAAGUCGAACGGAAAGGCCCCGCUUGCAGGGUACUCGAGUGGCGAACGGGUGAGUAACACGUGGGUGAUCUGCCCUGCACUUCGGGAUAAGCCUGGGAAACUGGGUCUAAUACCGGAUAGGAGCCAUUUUUAGUGUGAUGGUUGGAAAGUUUUUUCGGUGUAGGAUGAGCUCGCGGCCUAUCAGCUUGUUGGUGGGGUAAUGGCCUACCAAGGCGGCGACGGGUAGCCGGCCUGAGAGGGUGGACGGCCACAUUGGGACUGAGAUACGGCCCAGACUCCUACGGGAGGCAGCAGUGGGGAAUAUUGCACAAUGGGCGCAAGCCUGAUGCAGCGACGCCGCGUGGGGGAUGACGGCCUUCGGGUUGUAAACUCCUUUCGCUAGGGACGAAGCUUUUUGUGACGGUACCUAGAUAAGAAGCACCGGCUAACUACGUG
rnacentral:rRNA from 1 species